ensembl:lncRNA
UGGCGGCGGCCCGAGGGGCGGUGCGUGCCGCCGGGGGUGGGGUGUCACCGCUGGGAAAGGUAUCGGGAAAACGCAGCCCGAGCGGGCGGCUUUCCCCUCAGCGGACGAGGAGCGGCCGCGGGGCGCGGGCUGAGCCUCGCUUGCUCCAGGCGCUGAAGGCGUCGAGUGCCGACGUUAAGUGGCAAUCAAUUUAUCGCCAUAAAAACUUGGAAGGAUAGCCGCUGCAAUGUGAAACAUUUCUCCUAUUGCUUUUUUAAUUUUUUUUUUUUAAAGAACACGUUUUCAGUCGUUAGAUUAAUCGAUAUUCAAACCAGCAUUUCUCUUUAAAGAGAGCCUCCAGUAAAGCUCUCUGGGCCUUAUUUGGGGCUUCUCUGCAGAGGGAGGCUUGUGCUGCAUAAUCCGAGGCUGCAGCUCAGCCGAAGUCACAUCAACAGCAAGGGCAAAGGAAAAGCAGCACUGCUGGGCAGCCUCUCCUAAACACCAAAUAAGAAAAGAACAACAUACAAAGGCUGCAGCUACUGAUGCCUUCCAGGGAGAGGUGUGUAAUUGCCAUUUCCAUUUCAAUCUGCUACAAGGAACCCUAGAAGGUUGAAACAGAAAUCUCCGUGUCCUCAGAAAACCACAAUUCAGUACGUGAUUUAUGAACAUGAAUCACACUUUUCAAAUUCUCAUGGAGUAGCCUUUCCCACAUGUGUCACAUUUAAACCAGAAGAGUCCUCUGAUGCACACGCAGUUUACGUGACUUUAAUAGGAUUCAUAGCCAAACUGUUGGCCCAGGAGAAACAGGUAUCAACAUCAGCAUUCUUGCCAGCAGCAGAGCUCAUUGCUAGCUUGCAGCAUGUGAGGCUCCGUUGGACAAUCCAAUGUCGUGUGAAACUCAAAUGCAGUAUUGCUAUCUGAGAAGAAUCAAUGCUGAGACAUCUCCCCAGGACACUCCUGUCAGAUAUGUAUCUUUCAAGACUAUCUUUUCAAAAUAAACUGAGGUGGAUUUCUUGCCCUCUCUUAUGA